rnacentral:snoRNA from 1 species
UGUGGCCCUUAUCGAAGCUGCAGUUGCUUCCACAUAGCUGCUGUGGUCAAAGAGGAGCCCAGAUUAACAGCUUUUUCCUUGACGGUCGCCGUUCUGUUUGCUGUAACUGAUCUGCAACAUUUUGGGAAAAGACAGAA